rnacentral:rRNA from 1 species
AGUGAACGCUGGCGGUAGGCCUAACACAUGCAGGUCGAACGGCAGCACAGUAAGAGCUUGCUCUUACGGGUGGCGAGUGGCGGACGGGUGAGGAAUACAUCGGAAUCUACUUUUUCGUGGGGGAUAACGUAGGGAAACUUACGCUAAUACCGCAUACGACCUACGGGUGAAAGCAGGGGAUCUUCGGACCUUGCGCGAUUGAAUGAGCCGAUGUCGGAUUAGCUAGUUGGCGGGGUAAAGGCCCACCAAGGCGACGAUCCGUAGCUGGUCUGAGAGGAUGAUCCGCCACACUGGAACUGAGACACGGUCCAGACUCCUACGGGAGGCAGCAGUGGGGAAUAUUGGACAAUGGGCGCAAGCCUGAUCCAGCCAUACCGCGUGGGUGAAGAAGGCCUUCGGGUUGUAAAGCCCUUUUGUUGGGAAAGAAAAGCAGCAGGUUAAUACCCCGCUGUUCUGACGGUACCCAAAGAAUAAGCACCGGCUAACUUCGUG